CCUACGGGUGGCAGCAGUGAGGAAUAUUGGUCAAUGGGCGCGAGCCUGAACCAGCCAAGUAGCGUGAAGGAUGACUGCCCUACGGGUUGUAAACUUCUUUUAUAAAGGAAUAAAGUGAGGCACGUGUGCCUUUUUGUAUGUACUUUAUGAAUACUGAUCGGCUAACUCCGUGCCGGCAGCCGCGGUAAUACGGAGGAUCAGAUCGUUAUCCGGCUUUAUUGGGUUUAAGGGGUGCGUAGGCGGCUUUGUAAGUCAGCGGUAAAAUGUCCGGGCUAAACCCGGGACGGCCGUUGAUACUGGGGAUCUUGAGUGGGCGAGAGGUAGGCGGAAUGCGUGGUGUAGCGGUGAAAUGCAUAGAUAUCACGCAGAACACCGAUGGCGAAGGCAGCAUACCGGCGCCCGACUGACGCUGAGGCACGAAAGCGUGGGGAUCGAACAGGAUUAGAUACCCUGGUAGUC
rnacentral:rRNA from 1 species